GCUGAUGACUUGAACCCUUUGGAGAAUCGCUGGUGGAUUUAAAAGAAGGAAGGUGCAGAAAACAAAUCAUAGAACAUUGUGAACUGUGUGAGGAACGCUGCCAGAAGGUGACGUCUGGAUUCAUUUGCAAUGAAUGAUUGAAAAUGAAAAAUGGAAAAUAUGCCAUUUCUAUUAUACCAGUUGAAGCUGGAAUGAUUUGUCCUGGCCAGAAUGUGCAAAACCAGCAAAAGGGAAUCGGUUAUUAUCCAUCCACUCAUCAUCUUUACCUCUUGUCCUUGAGAGGGUUUUGGCGGUGACUUCAGGACUAAAGACUCUCUCUCUUCAAUUUGAAACACGAAUGACAAUGAAUGCAUGAAAACUGAGACACAUUUGGCGUAUUUCUCUGCACACACAUACACACAACAGAUGAGAUGAGAAGGAAGAAGCAGGCUGUGUUGGGAGGAUGUCUACACAAACCUCACUCUGCCUUUUGGAUGAGCAGCAUCAGUUACAGCUGAGUGUUUUAUUCUGCUAAAUUGUCUAUUUAAGAAUAAUGAGAAUAAAACGUUUUACCUCAUAAUGCAGGACAUUUUAAAACACUAGAUUAAAGGACAUUGUAGUGGAAAUGAAAAGGACACACUCUCUUCUCGCUGUCGCCGCUUAAUUCUGCAUUAAUCCAUUUCCAAUUUACUCUCAUUACAGCUCUCGCCACAAUGGCAGCGUCAGCGGGGGCUUGAACGGCUUCACUCGGCAGUGAAAAAGGAAAAAGCGCCGUGACCUGUGAUGAAAAAUCAGAGAAGACAGUGAGAGUGAUGUCACGCCAAGUCGAACCAGGUUGAACUUUUCCGCUGCCUGAUGCAGGUUUGGCCCACAUUGAUGCUGCCGCUGCACUUCCCCCAUCCGAGGGAACAAGAAGGGCUGUGUCCUCACGCACAAAGUGAAAGCCUGUGUGAGUCUCUGCAACAAGAGCUAAAUUAAAAACUCAAAUACAAAGGAUUACAAAGCGUAUUGAACGUCCUCAUCGCAUCUCAACAAUGUCAUUUUCCACCUCAUCGUCAUUUGCUCCCUUUCCUUUUUUUUUUCCCCCAGCCGCUUAUUGUUUUAAUAGAUUCACUCUGGGUGUGAUGAUGUAAGCAUGCGCUGAAUUCCAGUCAAGCAGAGUUGCAUCACUUGAGCUUAAUUGCUUUCAGCAUGAGCUGUUUGGAUCCCUUCCACUGAAAUAAUAUUUGCUUCAUUUGAAUGGAAGGGCUGGCUCCGUCUGACAGCGCGGGUGCAACACUGCUAACUCACGCCGUUUGACUCGCGUCUUGACAUUAGCAGAAAUAUAACAGCUUGAUUGGUAUAAUUACUGUAACGUACCAGUGAUCAGGGAGACUGAAGCGGAGCCGAUACAAAGCGAUGCACAGGGGUUUUUUUUAGAACAUACCGGCUACUUGUGUCAAGAGUAAACAGGAAGCAUGUGGCCUCCUCUGAGAGGGGGAGGGGAGGAACAGGCUUCCCGAAAGAAAGAAUCACGCACUGUAUGCAAUGACUUUGUCAUCAAAAAGUCAAUUAAAGGCAGUGGAGAACACUCCAUGGCCACGGAGCGUUUUUCUAGGGAUUAAUAUUUAGAAAUAUGCUCCAGAGACAUGACUGGUUGAAACUUAGCAGCCGACUGAAGUCGAGCAAGUGGCUUUUUGCCUGUUCCCAACUGCUGUUUGCUACUUAAUUGAUUACCAGCACACAUUAUGAAGAACCCCGGCUGCCGGUCUCUCGUCACUUGACGCAGACACUCCAUGCAAAUUUCAUGACCGCACCGUGUUACAGCUGCCAAUUUCUUUUUUUUUGACUCUGAGUCAGACAGAAUCGCUGGGACACUCGCGAAAGGGGAGGGCAUUCAUCUUUUAUAGUGCUGUUUUUGUCUCUAUUUGACAGUCUCAAUGAAAGAUUCAGGAAGACGCUUAAUCCUAUGGGCCCAGUCAGGUAGAUGGAUGCUGCUGCUGCCGCCGCUGCGCUGAUGAGACCCGCAGAGAAGGGAUGCAGGGAGGCAGGGUGCAGACUGACAAGCAGACAGCCACGGCUGCUAUAAUAGCUGAGAGGGAGGUGCUGAUGGCCUGUUGCCAAGGUGACACAGGCCAGCCAUUUGCAGAUGCAAACGAGACCUCGCAGCUCCCACCGAUGCCGUGGCUCCUCUGGAAACGCAGGCGCCGCUCCCCCACCCUCCCCAGAGAGGAGCUCUUGCAUACACCUGAGCACAACUAUGUGUUUGCUUUUCACAUUUGCUUGCGAUGAGCCUCCUUUGUGUCCUGUCUCCCUUUGCUCCUUUGGGAAGGAAGGAUUGCUUAUUAUUUCUAAGUGUCCCAUAACCCCCACAUUGAUGUCUUCCCUUUCUUGUUUCCUCCUCUGUUCCAUUGAUUCCUUGUGUUGAAUUGGCCUUUUCAGAGAUGGGGGCUGAUAGCAGCGUGCGCUGUUGAAUAACCGCUCUCAGUAGACACAGCACUCCACCCCAGCGACAACAAAAAGGCAGACUCCUUUGUUUGGCUGGAGGUAAACAGCUGGGAGCAGAUGAUGCCGGCCAGGCUGAUUUACGUGACCACAGCUACCGUGGUGUCAAGGUUUGUUAUGGCAGGGGCAAACAGCUGAGGGUGGAUGGAGGCUGAGGCUGCAGAACAAUGUGUCAUUUAAAGGAAAGGAAAAAAAAGCAUGGAGUGUGGAGAGUAGCUGAGCUCUUUGUUUGGGUUUGUGUUGGUUGGAAAACCCCCUCUGGAGAUUUCCUCCUCACACCUGAGAAAUGAUAGUCUAGAAAUAAUUAGAUUCAAAAUGCAAGAAAAAACAUAUUAGAAGACAAAAGAAACUCACCGCUAAUUUGUGUGUCGUCCUAAUUUUUAAAACCUGAAAUCAACCAACAACCGGUCAACAGAACAGAAUGGCUGCAGACAGGCUGUGUUGUGUUGAUUUGGAGGUACCGAAUGCAAAACAACAGCAGUAAUGAAAGUGCCAUUAACAAGUGUGGCUGUCGCACACUUAUGAGAAGCGCCGCAUAUGCCGCGCAGACCGAAUCCUGAAUGGUUAAAUGGUCAUGAAUAAUUAGGGCAUUCUCUCACUGAGCAGAUGUCUCUUUCUGCCGAGCGAGCGGACGGGGGAGAGAUAAGGCCGGUGCAGGACCGGGAGUGGGGGGAAUGGAUGAAGGCUGCGGCCUGCGAUACAGCACAGCAUGUGUGCGCCGUCACACAGAUACGGCGCCGCCUCCGACGGCGUGCAAACGGCGCGGCCGACACCUCGGGCCCCUCCGCCCCCCAGCGCCCCCACCCCGAGUCUGCAGGCGCUGUCCUGACCCCACCUGAUGAUGUCCCACCAGUGACCACCUCGCCACUCAGACCUGGACUUUCACGUCAGCCGCGCUUCCUCCCACCUGCACAAACAACGCGGAUCAACCGGAGGGCGAUUCUCGCCGCCGUCCGUCCGCGUGUAGUCGAGCAGCAGCCAAUUACGUCUGGAAAAGGGGAAGGAAAAGCUAAUUUGGCUGUGAACGAUCGUGAGGAAUCUGCCUGCCAGCACCUCUAAAUCUCACUUGUUAACACACUAUAGCUUGUCUCAUCUGAACACACAGGUAUUUAUAGCACACAGUGGCUCUUUACUGAUGUGAGGGAGGACAUAUGAUGAACAUAGACGCCCGGAGGUUGCGCCUUCCAAUGUGAUAAAUCCUUAGUUUUACAGGUGCUGGGGGGCAGAUUGUUUUAAUUGUUGACAUAAGAAAAUGAACAGCGUCAAGCGUAAACAUGAAAUGAUUAUUGGCUUCUCAGAUGGUUGAAGCCUGUGAACUCGUGUGUUUGUAUUUUGGCCAGUCGCCACAAGACACAACAGAAGACAAACAGCUCAGGUCGCCUCAUUCCCAUUGAUCAGAUCUACUAGUGAGAGUAUUAGCAUCAUUAGCAAAUUAGCACUUAUGCUAUUUGUGGGUCUAUUUGUGCAAGGACAAAAACAUAACUAACAGUUGUGUUGAUAUUGGUAUUUUUUCCCUCUGUCCUAAAAGCUAAAGGUAAAUUCCUGCAGGAGCUCAGAACACGUAGUUAUUCUGCAUAUGGUUGUGUUGACACGCUCGCAGCAGUCGUCUGGCUCAAUAGAUAAAAAUUUAACAGCCUCUUCACACACAAUGUGCUUAAUAAAUCACUCCAUGAAGGGGGAGCCCCGUCUCCACGGUUUCAUAUAUCGCCACAGUUUUUACUAUACUGCCUGUGUAUAAGAGGUAAAUUUCAUUAAUAGCUGUCAAAGCCUUUCUCAAUUAGUGUCUCCUUGUUGAACAUAACAGCAGCCCUCGAGUCCGUGCUCAAUGACCAGCAGCCUCUCAGUAGUCACGCUCCGGCGCUUUUAUUACGUAUAAACGCAUUAAAGCAUCUAAAGGUCACGUCACGCCGGGCAGGAUGGAGUCCGGCUCGCUGGCUCAGCCCGGCUGCUGCGCUCGGCGGCGUCGGACCUGUCAGCGCCGUCCGCGGUCCCGGUUCAUGCGCGGCCAUUCGCACAAAAGGCGCCGUAUUAGUCCUCACACCUGUAAAGGUCAGUCAAAGCAAGCGCGUGUGUGAGGCAUCGAUAUAUGGACCCGUCUCCCCGGGAUCGACGCCGGACCGGGAGCACGCCGGCACCUGAACUGUGGGAAUUGAGACGGGGGAAACAAUAAUUGGUUGUUAUUGUGCAGAUUGAAUUACAGAGACGUGGAUUCUACCAAAUCAAUGCCUGGCAAAUAAUUUAGCAGACGGUUAUUGAUUUGCACAGCUUCCUCUGAUAACUGCAGGUGUGACACUGUUCGUUUAUACCAAAGAGACCUUUUUACAUGGUUUUGCUGUCAAGUGCUGCCGUGGGGAAACUGUUUAAUGUCAGACUGUGUACGAGGCUGUUUUUAAAUAAAUAUGUCAGAUCCUGGG